rnacentral:lncRNA from 1 species
GCUUGCAGAUGAAUAAGGUAAGUAGCUAACCAUUUGCAACACCGGACAGGAAAAAAAAUCAUAAAGCCGGUACUAUAUAGUUAAGGACAAUGCCGACAUUUAUGAUCCUUUUCAACUUUUUCUUAAAAAUUUAUUUUUUAAGUCAAGCAUAACAAAACUUGAUCCAUAUUAAAUUUAACUACAACGCUGAAACACCAGCUACCAAAACAUAAAUUGUAAUUUUCCUGAUCAAGAACCAAGAUAUCGGAAACUCAAAGGCCUCCACUGAACGCACAUGUAUUAUCAAUCUAAUCUAGAAAAUUCCACAAAUUUAUAGUAAAAUUCCGCAAAUAUAGCACAAGCAGUCAUGAAAUUCACAGAAAACCUAACCUACAGAAAAGAAAAUAAUCAAGAAUAGAACUAAAAAUAGUUCAAAAAAAAUAUGUUGUGGAGAAACCAUCAGAAGCCAAGAACUCACUCAAAGCUUCCCGUUGGAUUUCCUCGAAGGGAACUGGGCAGGGAAGGUUCAGAUAGUCGACCUUCUUCUCGCUCUUCUCUUCCGCCUUCGAUGGAAGAGCCACCGCCAGACCAACCGCCGGCGGCAGCGGUGAAGGCGGCGGCGGCGGGGCGGCAGCGUGGCUGACGGACGAUCCCAUCCCUCGGGGAACGAAUGCGCCCCGAUUGAGAAGAGAGGACGACGAGUGGACGACGGUGUAGGGGGAGAAGGGAGUCGAGAGAGCGUGGUGGUGUUAUAUCAAGAGUAAGUCGAGCCGCUGCGGGGACGAGGGUUUUUGGAGGGUUUUUUUAGUCCAAUUCUUUUGUAAGAGAAAGAAAUUUUUUUUUUUUUCAUUCGAUGUACCAUCUAAUUUAAUAUAAUCUAAUAUAAUCUAAU